rnacentral:lncRNA from 1 species
AGUAUCAUCAUGAGGUCGGUGAUCGAUCCAGAUAGACCGACACAUAGAUCGCUUCUUUCAGGAUAGAUGAGUCUCUGAUUUAUAGUAUAGAGAUACUGAGCGAUAAAUAUCGAUAGUUGUUAGAGAACAACUAGUACUGAGCUUGACCAUAUGAGGGAUCACUUGAAUUUCUACUCGAUCGUCAGUGAUCAUCUCAAUGCUAUAAUUGUGUGAAUGGUCUUUUAAUCUACAAUGGCAC